rnacentral:rRNA from 1 species
UGGGGAAUAUUGCGCAAUGGGCGAAAGCCUGACGCAGCGACGCCGCGUGAGGGAUGAAGGUUUUCGGAUCGUAAACCUCUGUCAGAAGGGAAGAAACCGCACUGUGCUAAUCAGCAGUGCCUUGACGGUACCUUCAAAGGAAGCACCGGCUAACUCCGUGCCAGCAGCCGCGGUAAUACGGAGGGUGCAAGCGUUAAUCGGAAUUACUGGGCGUAAAGCGCACGUAGGCUGCUUUGUAAGUCAGGGGUGAAAUCCCACGGCUCAACCGUGGAACUGCCUUUGAUACUGCUUAGCUUGAAUCCGGGAGAGGGUGGCGGAAUUCCAGGUGUAGGAGUGAAAUCCGUAGAUAUCUGGAGGAACAUCGGUGGCGAAGGCGGCCACCUGGACCGGUAUUGACGCUGAGGUGCGAAAGCGUGGGGAGCAAACAGG